CUCGUUAGACGAGUUGAAUGAGUGACGUAGCAGUACUUUUGCUUGAUUUUAGGGGAUUUAGGCCGCUUUGCUUAAACCUCCACCUCUGAUUACGCGAAGGUUAGAGGUGGAAAUAUCUUCCACCACAGAGUCUAACAGGAUUACUGCGCCCCUGCUGUCUGUCCGUCUGUCUGUCCGCCCGCCCGCCCGUUACAGCUUCAGCUUCAACAGCGCUAGCUAGCCACCAUGGUCCCUCCUGUCCAGGUUUCGCCGCUUAUCAAGACUGCAAGAUGGUCCGCCUUGCUGGUGGGAAUAAUCUAUGGAAAGCAGAGAUAUGAUUACCUGAAGCCCAUUGCUGCCGAGGAGAGGCGCGUUGAAGAGGCAGAGAAGAAACUGAGGGAGGAGCAGGAGAGAAUCUACAAACAGCUGGCUGAAGCCGACUCUGAGAGCAUUCUGAAAUGAAUCGCCACUUCAGUCUCCUCAGUCAUGCCCUGCACUACAGAGUUUAAGUGUAAUUAUAUUACCUCUAUUUUUCAAUAAAAGCAUCAAAAGUA